rnacentral:lncRNA from 1 species
CCAAUCAUUAUCCUCUAUUUUCUUCCUCUAGGAUGAGGGUUUUGAUUAUGAUGGAGAAGUCAGAGUUAGUGCUAUUCAACUCGAUGGUGAAGCAAGAGGCAUUCAAGCUACUGGUGGAGGAGGAGAUGUGGAUGUAUAUCUAUAGCGUCACUUCUUAUAAUUAUAGUCAUGUAUCUAUAUUACCUUCGACGUCCUCCAUAGGUCCAACCCUCACC